GCUUGUUUCAAAUAUUCAGUCUACUACUGCUUUUGCCCACCUUUGAAAUGUCUGCUCAAUUUUAACAUCUGGAACAUUUAUCAUUUUCCAGGGAGGAAGAACAACAGCUUUCAAGGGUGACUAAAUUAGAUUACCUCUAAUCCAAAAUACAACCAGUCCUGUUCCACAGAGACAAUUCCAAUUAAGACAAUUCCAAUUUAAUAAUAUGGAGAAAUGAUUAAAUAAUAGAAAAAAGGAUAACAUCAAAUUGGCCAUCAAUUUCCUUUUUCACUGCGUUUGAGAUGAACUAGCAUCAAAGUGAAAUUGCUCCUUUUUUUUUCUUCAAUCUUUCUUUUUCUCUGAAGGUCAUUCGAACAAGCAAUUUAUGUAUAGCAGGUAAACUACUGUAUAAAGGACACUGGCAGCCAUCAAAAGCUGUCCUUCUCCUUCCUAUUAGUUAAUGGCUAGCGCUGGUUGUCAUUUCCUUUGAGCUCUUUGGAAAUGAGAGUAAAUGGAAGCUUGGGGAAGGAUUAUUGUUUUUAAUGCUUUUUUUUUUUUUCCUUCUUGUUUUUCUCUAUAUUGCAUUUCAUUAUAGGCAUCUUUUAGCUAGUUGAUUUUCUGUAAUCAAGAGCUAGUAGAGCAAAGGUCAAGACCGUGGCCAUGGACCGUGGAGAUUUUAAUCAGUGUUCUUCAAAGGGCCCGGGGCAUCGCUCUAGACAUCUGGAGAAAGACGUGUGUUGGCGUCUGAAGAUCUUGGCAGGGUGAUGACAUAUCUGCUGCCGGACAUACAUCAGCAUGUAAAUUAGAGUGCCAUUUACAGCCCCUGUCAUGUAAAUCAGAGGCUGUGUCUCCUGAACUCUUUCCAAAAGACCUUCAUCAACAUGGCCAUCACACUCCCUGCUGCUGUUGUGUUUUAUAGUUAGUGUUCGACAAAGUUGGAGAAAGAUCGAGGAAUGCAGAGGAAAAAUGACAGAUAAUGAAGGGGAGACAGAGGGACACAUUAGAUCCUAUUUCUGUCUUUUUUGAAAAAAAAAAAAAAACUAAAAACCAAACUUUUGGUAGAUAUCAUGUAUGUAAUUUUUUCUAUGUUUGUGUAUUACACAGUUCUUCUGGGUGUAUCCUUUUAUUUUAAUUGUCAUAGAAAUAAUGCAAAAAUAUGAUCUUUUAUUUUUGAUAUGGGGGUG
ensembl:lncRNA